GACGAACGCUGGCGGCGUGCUUAACACAUGCAAGUCGGACGAUGAAGCUGGAGCUUGCUCUGGCGGAUUAGUGGCGAACGGGUGAGUAACACGUGAGAAAUCUGCCCUUGACUCUGGGAUAACUGCGGGAAACUGUAGCCAAUACCGGAUACUUUCCCUGGUGGGCAUCCACUGGGGAAGAAAGAAUUUCGGUCAAGGAUGAUCUCGCGGCCUAUCAGCUUGUUGGUGAGGUAAUGGCUCACCAAGGCGACGACGGGUAGCCGGCCUGAGAGGGUGACCGGCCACACUGGGACUGAGACACGGCCCAGACUCCUACGGGAGGCAGCAGUGGGGAAUAUUGCACAAUGGGCGCAAGCCUGAUGCAGCAACGCCGCGUGAGGGAUGAAGGCCUUCGGGUUGUAAACCUCUUUUAGCAGGGAAGAAGCGAAAGUGACGGUAGGUGCAGAAGAAGGACCGGCCAACUACGUGCCAGCCGCCCCCGUAA
rnacentral:rRNA from 1 species